rnacentral:tRNA from 1 species
AAUUACUGAACUUGUUUAAGUAUAUAUUUUGAAAAUAUAAUAAAGAAGUAGAAUCUUCUAGUAAUUU